AGAGGGCUAAGGGUGACUGACUGCCCAGUGCAUGGAUCUCAGCAGCACGGCUUGACUUUCGGGCGGCAGGCAAGGAUGCUAAUCCACAAGGUUCCUGAGUCCAACAUCCCUCCCUCCAAUGUGGGGCUCGAAUCCGCUAUUGCAACCAAACCCGGGUUCUGCCCGCAGGGUGGCGCAAUGACAAGAGCCACCAGGUGACCCUGGUAACUCCCGCACCUAGACCUACAGGAGCAGUUUUUCUGCAGCACCACAUCUGUAGCCCUGCAUGCCGCUGGCUCCAGUGUUGUGUGUGUGGUCAUGCUCCAUCCAGCCCAGCAGCAACUUUGGUGUUUGACACCCCUCGGGAGGCACCGCUUUGGAAGAGACUGGUGUGUGCGGAGCCCAAGAUGUGUUGGGAACAGCUAUCGUUUCUACUGCUUUGUCCCAUGCCUCUGGAGCUCCUGGGUUCCUGAACUUCAAGCUGGGCCCCAUCCUUCACCCUAUCAGGGCCCUGGGUGGAGCUGACUUCCAACAGUAUACAGUGGGUCUUGGUACUUCCUCCUUGGCAUUCGACAGUUGGUGUUUUUGAAGUCAGAGCCAUCCUCAGUAGGCUCCUAGGGGAUCGUAAGCGGCUUUCUCUGGGUGGAAACCUACUCCAUGCAGCCUUCAGCAAAGGAUCCUACGGCUGUUGAUCCCCUCGGAAGUGAGACAUAAUGUCCCGGAGCAGAUGCUGAUGGGGACUCACUGUUGGGCCACCUGAUUUCUGUGUUCAUCUUCCCAGGCUCCACCUUUCAGAUCCCAUCCCUGGUGUCUGCAGUUACAACUUUACUAACCAGAACUUUGUUUCCAGCUUACGCUGAAAAGCAAAGGGUGACUUAGAAUAAAAAUGUAACAAAUAGCCCCAUAGCCCAAACCUUUUCUGCCAUGAUUUACUGUACCAGAUACCUAUAAGUGUCCAGGGCAAAUUAAACACAUCAAUAAAUGGC
rnacentral:lncRNA from 7 species